GUAAAUGUAACCUACGUUGUUGGAGAGAGAAAUAACAUCAUGGAAGAGACAUAAAAGCUGGCAAAAGCUGACGACUGUCCUUAAGCCAUUCAGGUUUGUGACUGAGCUUUUUGGAGGUGAGACAUGUGUCUCAUGUUCAGUGGUUUUACCUGCUUACUGCCACCUGCAUCACACCAUGGAGGUCUCCAAUGAUGACUCAGACUACAUGGUGAAAUUUAAGACUGCCUUUACAAAGAACCUAUCCCAACAUGUAGCUACACUCAACCAUCAGUGGCUCAAGAUAGCUACUGUGCUUGACCCACACUUUAAGAAUUUAAAGUGUCUUGCAAGGGGAGAGUGAGAAGAGGUUUGGACCAGCCUUGAGGUUGCUGCAGGAACAGUGUAAAGAUGCCACCACAAAGGAGCCAGCAAAGACAAAGAGCCUCCUCCUCUCUUCAUUGUCUUCAGACUCUGAUUCAGAUGAGGAAGCCCUGUGUAACAGGGCCCUGAGCAGAAUCCACCAUCAGCGAUAAAGACUGCCCACUGCAGUCUAAUACAAUUAUCAUUGUUGUUUGUCGAAUCCUAAUGGCAACUGUAGUGUGUAAUCAGUUGCUGCAGAAGCCUGCCUCUCCUUGAGCCUGAGUCUGUUUUAUACUCUCGGGCUUUCCUCCUGAACUACUCCCCCCAGUCUCUGCUUUUCAAUCCAGUACCAGGGCAAUUAGAUAGUCACUCACCCUACAUGUAUCAAGUAUCUAGUAUCAAGACUUUCUUGGCCCUCACCAAGGUUCAUUUUUAGCUGCUUCCUGUGUGCUCUGUUUUCUGGUCAACCAUUUGCAUACAUAUUCUAUGGACCAAAGUUGAACAUCUGUGAUAAGUGCUGUAAAACUACUUUUCUAGAUUUAUAAAAAGCCCAGCCAACCUACUUUCACACCCUUGUUUUGUUUGUGUAUACUGAAAUCUAAGCUAAUGGCUGAACAUGAUAUCUCAACCUCUAGAAGAUGAAAGCCUCAAGUUCUCACAGUUUUUUCCUGACCAUCAAAAUAAAUGUAGACCUAUAAAUGUCUGAGUAUUGACUAGUAUGUAACAAAACAAAACAAAACAAAACAAAACAAAACAAAAAAAACCACCAACUUCACACCACCCAAAGAAGUUCAAUAUUUGAGAACACUAAUACAAAAAUUCACAUUGUAAAAAACAACUAGUGACAGUUUCUGAAUGGUAUCUAGCUAUAUUUCACAAUAAUGCAAAAGCAUGUAGAAUACAUGAAAUUUUUAGUCAUAAAAUAAAAAUGCUAUUCUUAUUCACUUUUCAAUUGUCUUGUUAAUAGUAAACACAUCAGAAAUAAAUAUCAAACAGAAGAGAUACAUACAUAGAGGAAUAUAUACAAACUAGAGGAAUAUAUACAAAAGAAGAGAAAGGCACACAAUGGAGAGCAAAGUGCUUGGAAGCAGUGGAAAAGGACUUGGUCUGAUAAUGAGUAAGCUGAAGAGGAAAUGGAUUUGCGCUCAUCUAGAAGAUCUUUGUUUGGCCUGGAGAAAUAGUUUCUUUUACUCUGAAAACAUAGCUGUCUGUAAAGCUAAGACAUCUUCCUAUUCCUAUUAGUUAAAAAGCCCUUACCUGGUCCAGCUGUCUUUGCCAAUUCUCUAACCUUCCUUGCUCAUUAGCAACUUCUUGACUUUAAAUAUAAUAUGCUAGUACUGCAACUUUUGCAUGUGUGUCAAUUUCACGCUUUGGAGAGGCAAACCAUGAAAUGGACACAGUAGACCAGUCUAUUGCAUGCUUUACCAUAUCAUUAAAUUUUGUUUUCCC